UGACAUGUAGCUCAGUCGGUAGAGCAGGGGAUUGUUAAUCCUCAGGUCGCAGGUUCGAACCCUUCCAUGUCAG
rnacentral:tRNA from 1 species